GACGAACGCUGGCGGCGUGCUUAACACAUGCAAGUCGAACGGAAAGGCCCUGCUUUGGUGGGGUGCUCGAGUUGCCAACGGGUGAGUAACACGUGAGUUACCUACCCCUGACUGUGGGAGAACUUCAUGAAACUUGGUGUAAUACCGGCUAGGAUCUACCGCUUCUGGGUGGGGGUGGGUAGGUUUCGGCGGUUGGGGAUGGACUCGCGGCUUAUCAGGUUGUUGGUUGGGUAGUGUCUUACCAAGGCCUGGCAGGGUAGCCGGCCUGAGCGGGUGACCGGCCACACUGGGACUGAGAUACGGCACAGACUCCUACGGGAGGCAGCAGUGGGGAAUAGUGCACAAUGGGCGGAAGCCUGAUGCAGCCACGCCGCGUGCGGGAUGACGGCCUUCGGGUUGUAAACCGCUUUCGCCUGUCACGAAGCGUGAGUGACGGUAAUGGGUAAAGAAGCACCGGCUAACUCCGUG
rnacentral:rRNA from 1 species